GGUUAAGCGACUAAGCGUACACGGUGGAUGCCCUGGCAGUCAGAGGCGAUGAAGGACGUGCUAAUCUGCGAUAAGCGUCGGUGAGGUGAUAUGAACCGUUAUAACCGGCGAUUUCCGAAUGGGGAAACCCAGUGUGUUUCGACACACUAUCAUUAACUGAAUCCAUAGGUUAAUGAGGCGAACCGGGGGAACUGAAACAUCUAAGUACCCCGAGGAAAAGAAAUCAACCGAGAUUCCCCCAGUAGCGGCGAGCGAACGGGGAGGAGCCCAGAGCCUGAAUCAGUGUGUGUGUUAGUGGAAGCGUCUGGAAAGGCGCGCGAUACAGGGUGACAGCCCCGUACACAAAAAUGCACAUAUUGUGAGCUCGAUGAGUAGGGCGGGACACGUGGUAUCCUGUCUGAAUAUGGGGGGACCAUCCUCCAAGGCUAAAUACUCCUGACUGACCGAUAGUGAACCAGUACCGUGAGGGAAAGGCGAAAAGAACCCCGGCGAGGGGAGUGAAAAAGAACCUGAAACCGUGUACGUACAAGCAGUGGGAGCCUCUUAAUGGGGUGACUGCGUACCUUUUGUAUAAUGGGUCAGCGACUUAUAUUCUGUAGCAAGGUUAACCGAAUAGGGGAGCCGAAGGGAAACCGAGUCUUAACUGGGCGUUAAGUUGCAGGGUAUAGACCCGAAACCCGGUGAUCUAGCCAUGGGCAGGUUGAAGGUUGGGUAACACUAACUGGAGGACCGAACCGACUAAUGUUGAAAAAUUAGCGGAUGACUUGUGGCUGGGGGUGAAAGGCCAAUCAAACCGGGAGAUAGCUGGUUCUCCCCGAAAGCUAUUUAGGUAGCGCCUCGUGAAUUCAUCUCCGGGGGUAGAGCACUGUUUCGGCAAGGGGGUCAUCCCGACUUACCAACCCGAUGCAAACUGCGAAUACCGGAGAAUGUUAUCACGGGAGACACACGGCGGGUGCUAACGUCCGUCGUGAAGAGGGAAACAACCCAGACCGCCAGCUAAGGUCCCAAAGUCAUGGUUAAGUGGGAAACGAUGUGGGAAGGCCCAGACAGCCAGGAUGUUGGCUUAGAAGCAGCCAUCAUUUAAAGAAAGCGUAAUAGCUCACUGGUCGAGUCGGCCUGCGCGGAAGAUGUAACGGGGCUAAACCAUGCACCGAAGCUGCGGCAGCGACGCUUAUGCGUUGUUGGGUAGGGGAGCG
rnacentral:rRNA from 1 species